rnacentral:rRNA from 1 species
AACAGGGAUUGCCUUAGUAGCGGCGAGUGAAGCGGCAAAAGCUCAAAUUUGAAAUCUGGCGCCUUCGGUGUCCGAGUUGUAAUUUGAAGAUUGUAACCUUGGGGUUGGCUCUUGUCUAUGUUUCUUGGAACAGGACGUCACAGAGGGUGAGAAUCCCGUGCGAUGAGAUGCCCAAUUCUAUGUAAGGUGCUUUCGAAGAGUCGAGUUGUUUGGGAAUGCAGCUCUAAGUGGGUGGUAAAUUCCAUCUAAAGCUAAAUAUUGGCGAGAGACCGAUAGCGAACAAGUACAGUGAUGGAAAGAUGAAAAGAACUUUGAAAAGAGAGUGAAAAAGUACGUGAAAUUGUUGAAAGGGAAGGGUUUGAGAUCAGACUCGAUAUUUUGUGAGCCUUGCCUUCGUGGCGGGGUGACCCGCAGCUUAUCGGGCCAGCAUCGGUUUGGGCGGUAGGAUAAUGGCGUAGGAAUGUGACUUUACUUCGGUGAAGUGUUAUAGCCUGCGUUGAUGCUGCCUGCCUAGACCGAGGACUGCGAUUUUAUCAAGGAUGCUGGCAUAAUGAUCCCAA